CAGGUGUAAAUGUCUCCCUUCCAGUAAGUGCUCCUUCCGAGAUUACUCAGUUAACAGUUUAGCUCCACUUUAGAUUCUAAAUCUAACUAAUCACAGAUAUGGCGAACCGUUUCAGCUCCAUAAAUUAAGUUAGAAGAGGGAAGGUCUAUUUAAAUUCUAUUGGUUUAGUGACUUAUUAUGAGCCUACAGACACCGGAAAACUUAACAACUUUGUCUAACAAAUCAACAACACAGUCGUAGUGCUUCUUUUCAGGCUCUAACCCGUAACUUUUGUUUGUUGCAUUGAGGGAUCUCAGUUGGAGCUCAAUUUCCCCACGUGUCAGUAAGAAGUGAGUACAUAAAUGAAUGCAACAUUAGUCUAGCUUUAGCCAGACACUACACGGAUCCUCAAACUGAACAAACACUACUCAGUGUUAUGGUCUGAAGAACCUAUAAAUUCAACAACCACAGGCAGGUAAGAAAAAUGAUGUCCAUUUUGACAUGUGUUGGCAUGCUUAGAAUGUAAGGCCUUGCGACUGAAAUCAUAUGGUUUUUCCUAUUAAGGCAUCAUCGUUUAACAGUUUUUGAUUGUUUUAGUAUGUAAGCUGCAGCCGAUGAUCCAUAGUUGCUUAAAAC
rnacentral:lncRNA from 1 species